rnacentral:rRNA from 1 species
GAUGAACGCUGGCGGCGUGCCUAAUACAUGCAAGUCGAGCGAACAGACGAGGAGCUUGCUCCUUUGACGUUAGCGGCGGAGGUGUGAGUAACACGUGGAUAACCCACCUAUAAUACUGGGAUAAUCUCGGGAAACCGGAUCUAAUACCGGAUAAUAUAUUGAACCGCAUGGUUCAAUAGUGAAAGACGGCUGUGCUGUCACUUAUAGAUGGAUCCGCGCCGCAUUAGCUAGUUGGUAAGGUAACGGCUUACCAAGGCAACGAUGCGUAGCCGACCUGAGAGGGUGAUCGGCCACACUGGAACUGAGACGCGGUCCAGACUCCUACGGGAGGCAGCAGUAGGGAAUCGUACGCAAUGGGCGAAAGCCUGACGGAGCAACGCCGCGUGAGUGAUGAAGGUCUUCGGAUCGGAAAACUCUGUUAUUAGGGAAGAACAAAUGUGUAAGUAACUAUGCACGUCUUGACGGUAACUAAUCAGAAAGCCACGGCUAACUACGUG